GACGAACGCUGGCGGCGUGCUUAACACAUGCAAGUCGAACGGAAAGGCCCUGCUUUUGUGGGGUGCUCGAGUGGCGAACGGGUGAGUAACACGUGAGUAACCUGCCCUUGACUUUGGGAUAACUUCAGGAAACCGGGGCUAAUACCGGAUAGGAGCUCCUGCUGCAUGGUGGGGGUUGGAAAGUUUCGGCGGUUGGGGAUGGACUCGCGGCUUAUCAGCUUGUUGGUGGGGUAGUGGCUUACCAAGGCUUUGACGGGUAGCCGGCCUGAGAGGGUGACCGGCCACAUUGGGACUGAGAUACGGCCCAGACUCCUACGGGAGGCAGCAGUGGGGAAUAUUGCACAAUGGGCGGAAGCCUGAUGCAGCAACGCCGCGUGCGGGAUGACGGCCUUCGGGUUGUAAACCGCUUUCGCCUGUGACGAAGCGUGAGUGACGGUAAUGGGUAAAGAGGCACCGGCUAACUACGUG
rnacentral:rRNA from 1 species